UACGUAGGGUGCGAGCGUUGUCCGGAAUUAUUGGGCGUAAAGAGCUUGUAGGCGGUCUGUCGCGUCUGCUGUGAAAAUCCGGGGCUCAACCCCGGACUUGCAGUGGGUACGGGCAGACUAGAGUGUGGUAGGGGAGACUGGAAUUCCUGGUGUAGCGGUGAAAUGCGCAGAGAUCAGGAGGAACACCCGUAGCGAAGGCGGCACUCUGGGCCGAUACUGACACUGAGGAGCGAAAGCGUGGGGAGCGAACAGG
rnacentral:rRNA from 1 species